UACGAAGGGGGCUAGCGUUGCUCGGAAUCACUGGGCGUAAAGCGCACGUAGGCGGAUUUUUAAGUCAGGGGUGAAAUCCUGGAGCUCAACUCCAGAACUGCCUUUGAUACUGGGAAUCUAGAGUCCGGAGGAGGUGAGUGGAACUCCGAGUGUAGAGGUGAAAUUCGUAGAUAUUCGGAAGAACACCAGUGGCGAAGGCGGCUCACUGGUCCGGUACUGACGCUGAGGUGCGAAAGCGUGGGGAGCAAACAGG
rnacentral:rRNA from 1 species